ACUUGAACAAAAGGAGAAACUCGGAUGAACUCUCCAUCUCUCCCUCUCCUCCUCUCCCGGGUUAUCUCAUUUUCGCCAACUUUAUCCAGAGAGAUUUACUCAACUUUCUCCGAGCUCUCCCGCCGCUUAAAAGAGAGCGGCCCCGCCGCAGGCUCUUGAGGAAAUCUCGUUUCAGAGUUUAAAGAAAGGCGAAGGUCAAAACAUGGUCGUCAGGGAAAAUGGGAUGGUUGCCAAAAUAUCAGUGUGUGAUGGGUGCCAUAUUGCAUUAUCCUCAGAGUGGUGGAAUACAGCUUGGGAUUCUUCAGGGGUGGUUAACACAGUACAAACUGUACCAUACAGCUGCUGAAUGUCUUAACCAUUUGGAUUCAUACAUAACUGAAUUGGCUUCUGGAAGAAGCGGAAGAGCCUCUUGCCAAACUUGAAGAUAUUGUGGAAAUGCUGCUGAGACCCAUUUGGAUUAUAUUGCCUUGGACAUCAAGGUUCUACAGCUAAUGAAAGGAAUUCACCAGAUCUUUUCGUUAUGUGAUUGCUGAAGCAUUAUCCUGGGACAGCAGUAAUGGUUGACGAACACCCUUUAGGCUUGAGUCACAGAGCAAUGUGAGGAUUAACACUUUUGAAGUAGGAAUGUGUAUAGGAUUGAAGGAUUUAUGUGGAGAAUUCUGCUCCUUCCUGCUCCAGGAAAGACAGGAGAUGCAGGCAGACCAGUCUUUACCAGUUCUCAAGGCAAAUAUUGCUGUAUAGUCCUUGCUGUCAGCAACAUCCUCAGUGUCUGGUGAUGGGGUGCCUUGGAACGAUGGCACAGAACAAGCUUCAUAGUACCUCUGCACUUCAAGCUCUCUGUGCUGAAUUUUGAAGACAAUGAUAAGAAGAGUGGAAGAGUGGGCUAAUGAAGCAUCGCUAUGUUCCUGCAAGUUGUGUGUUCAAGUGGCAUAAAGCUAUACUGUUCAGAAGAAGCGAGAUUGUCUUUCCCUACAGCUACGAUGCUGCACUGAUCUCAACACAGCCUGCUUUUCCCUCCAUUUACCUGGGCGGCUGCUGCUGUUUCUGCUGCUGCUGGGGCUGCUGCAGCCUCGCUGCCUGCGCUUCACCCUGGCUUGUCUGGCUCAAAACUCACUCGUCUGCACAUUGCUAAGAAGAGCGAUGGAGCUGCGUUUUUUCUGUUGGUUCUCGAAGCAAAGGGUUGCAAUAUGUGAUGACUUCGGGAUUUUCUUUGGGGGGGAUAUGAAGGGAGGAGAAAGAAGGGGUGUUAUUCUAGGUUGGGGUGGGUGAAAGCUUAAAGAAAUACUAUGUAAGGUAAUCCAGUGCUCGACAAGGGCAUCAGCAGCAAGAAUCAAGCCUCUGCUGCUCCAGAGGAUUAACAUGGGGAAGCCACAGUGCUGCAGUCGGGUUUCACCUCAGCGUUGUGCUGGAGAUGGAUAAAUAAGGUAUCGGUUGUGCCUGCCUGUUAAGGCAAAGCCAUGGGAGAAGGAGAGAGCGAGCGAAUGCAAAUGCAGAGGAAGAAGAAAUGCUACAUGCCGUUUGUCUGAUUCUGUGCAUUCUUAUUGCAGAGAGGAUGGCUCGAUUAACAAAGCAAUGUAUGGAUGGAGGGGACUGUAUAUUGUAGCUCGAACACUCCUGAUGCUCUCAGGGGGGGAACUGAUGAGCUAGGUGGUUUCAGUGAUAUCCCCAGAGAAAACAGCAGCCACGCACUCUGUGUGUAUAUAUAUGUAUGUAAGUGCUUUUGUGUGUUUGCGAGCAUGCAUAGACAUGAAAGAAAGACAUUUCUGACCAAUUUACAGAGGAAGUUUGUCACUUCGCUAGGUCAGACUUGAUUGCAGCUUGUAUUUUCAGCUAUAGCUCUACACCCAUUUCCUGACUGAGGUGGCACUUUGUGAAAACAGAUGGUAGGCAGAAUUCUUUUAAGAAACGUGAAAGCAGAUCCUUUCCGCUUAACACCUAGAAGCACUGAAUCUUCUGCACUGUGCUGUGAGAAACUGUGGGGUUUCGUUUCUCCAUCUUAAAAUCUUUAUAAACACAGCUGUAUCCAGUAUGGUGAAAAAUUCUAUACUGUAAAUAGAAAUGUGAUCAAUCUAAUCAAAAUAAAUGCAUCCCAGAUGACUUCUAGACCAGCUGGCUGCCACAGUCAUCAGAUGGCUAAAUGCUCAACUGAGCUUUUAUAUUCAGUGUUAUAUCUUUUUCUUUUUUUCCUUUUUAGAAUUUUAAAAUCAGCUUUUAAUUAAAAAGAAUUCUUCAUCUAUUGAGAAAAGGCAAUACUUGUAUUUGACAAUAGAUUUUUCUGAAAUGUUACCUGGGUGUAUUUUUUUAUUGCCGAAUGUGCAUGGAGGAGACCAUAUGUUUAGAGCAGGUAGAUUUGUCACAGUACAGGCAUGUUUAGGUUGAUAGGCAGCUCUUCUUGGCCAUGUCUGAACAAUGCAGAAAUGGGGAAAACAAGUGCUGCACUCAGCUAGUGGGGCUUGGCAUGGCUUCUAGCAGCUGCCUAUCGAGAAGGAGGUUGUGUGGUUCUUUUUUCCUUUUUUCCUUUUAUACAAAUCCAUAGACCAUAAUGUCAUCCUAAAAUGUGUAUGAGGGGAUUUCCCAAUAGUCAUGGUGAGCUACCCUGCAAGACGCCUGUCUGGCCCUUCCACUAUUUGUUACCCAGUCUACAAAGGCAGCCCUGUGUGUUGGAUUAUAUUUAGCCAGCUGUUGGAUAACAUUCUUGUGCUGGGGGCAAAGGAGUCUUAUUACUUUCAAACUGUAGUUUUCUGUUUGCUUAAAGAAAAAUAACCUUGGCAAUACAGCAGGCUCUGGAAAGGACUUUAUGCCACUCCUAUACUUUUCUGAAACUGUCGUGUGCUUCUAACUCAGGCAGUUUAAAGCAAGCAAGGAGGAGGAAGAGAGAGACUUAACUCACAGCUUCAAAGCUGCAGAGACAAGCAAAAUGUCAGCAGCUUGUAAUUAGGAGUCCACGGUUACGUCAGUGACUGUAUCGCUCCAAGAAUAGCUAUGUGAUGUGUGCCACAAAGCAAAGGAAGACAGUCAUAACCUGGUUACUGAGCUGGGUUCAAACAAGAAAGAGCAAAAUGGAUUAAUGAAUCUGCUGUGUUCCUAAAUCAGAUGUGAAUGGAUUUACAUGUACAAGGCUUGCUGAAUUCUGCAGCAGUGAAGACUGAAUUAUCGGUUUGUCAGAGGGCAUGUGUUCACCGAGUGCAAGUGUGAAUCCUUCAGAAAAGAAUGCAGAUGAACCAUCUUUCCUAGAAAAUGCCUUUUGCAGCUCCGUCCUGUACGGGCAGCUGCGUGUCACGGCGGCAUGCUCUGAAGGGAGACAUUAACGAGCCGCAUGGAGGUGUUUGUAAGCAAGGGUGUAAUUAAACACAAAGCAAGCACACCAAAAUUCUGUUCUUGCAUUAUGGAUUCGAUACUGAAAUACCACCUCAGAGAAGGCUGGCUGGGGUCUGGUGUGGUUUAUGUUAAGGCUUCUCUGGUGAAGAGAGGAGGGGGAGGGAAAGGGCAUCGCACAGCAUCUCACAGCCCAGUCGAAGUCCCCAGGGCUGCAGCUGUGCGCGCUUAAAGGCGCCGGUCCACACCCUGCCAGGAGCUUUCUGACCUUCACAAUUAUUUUUAGGUCUGUGCAGGCAACUCAGCAGCAUUGAAGUAGUGAGAUUGCAGGGGGUGCUUAAUCUGCUCUGACUGGCCUUUCUACAUGUUGUGGCUGGCAGAUGUUUAUAGGGCUUUCAUCAGUACCCCUUUGCAGUAUUCUACGUGCACGCCUGCCAGUGUUAGUGCCACCCAGCUGCUAGAAGCCUGGUGUGGUUCCCUGCUCCCAGCAGAAGCCAGUUGCAGUUCAGCUCUGUUUAUGUCACUCUUUAAUUUAGCAGGAUAGGUAGAUCGCAUUAUGCAAACAGUGGGGUGGGGUUUUUGUUGGGUUGGGUUUUUUUUGGACUGUGGACACAGAUUUGUAGGAGGAGAUGACUGUGUAUAUUAAACCAAUAGCUUUUUGAAUUGUGUGUAGUAUAAUUUAAAUAUACUUACUUUAAUUAAUAGAAGGUUACAAAAGCUGGUAUUGUCUGGGGCUGUUUAAUUUACAUCUUAGGUUUAGUCAACGAGCAUAACCUGCCUGAUCAGAAUAGUGUAUUCUACACAGCCAACAGGGUGGAAGACAUUAUUUUGUUUGUGUUGGUUCAAACAGCUGGUCAUUAAUGCAGGCUCCAUCUCCAGAGUGAAGUGCUAGUGGACAUGAAUGGCUGCCUGAUUAAUGCUGCCCCUCGACAGGUCCUUCAUCCAGCAGCGAUGCUCACAGCAGAAUAAUGCAGUGUGAUUUGAUUGCGCUCUAACAGGGUAGUAUGUCAUUGUGUCACUGAGCAAUUGAGGUUAUUAUGGGGCAGGGCAGACAGACGGGACAGUGGGGUUACUAGACCGUGGCAUUUUUAGAAAUGCAGGCCUGACCUACUUAGAGUUAUUCUUGCUGGCUGGCAGCUGCCUGGUGCAGGGCUCCCCCUGAUAGGCUGCGGCUGUUGCUAGGGGGAAUUAGCAUGAAUUUUUCCACAUACAGACUCAGUGAUUGAAUGAUAAAAGCUGACUGGAAUUAAAGAGAUUCGGUUCAGUAUUAUGCAGAUUUAUCUCCCUCAUUAUUUUUUUUUUUUCCCUCAAAUGUAUAAAAAGGAGCAGAAGACUGUUUCUAUUUAUUUUUGACUUUUUUUUUUUUUUUUUUUUUCCCAGGGGAGGGCAGAAGUAUUAUGAAUUUUUGAUCAUCGCUUACUAUUUAAGCCAUUGAAAUGAUAUGACAGUGGGCAUGCAUCUUUAAUGUAUGGGAGAUUCAAAUGCCGUCUCUUUGGAAGGGAAUGAAAUGAAAAUAUUUCGUGUUCUGGUCAGACUGCCACCUCUUUCUAUUUGAAGCCAUGUCAGAUUCGCUUGUCUGGAAAGGCGAAACAUAUACCAGGUUUUAUUGCAUAACAUUACUCUUGGUUAUUUUUAGCUAUCUGUACUUCACAAAAUUAGUCCUAUGUUUAUGUUGGUGGAUGAAAUUAAUCCCCGGACUAUGUCUCCUAUAUGCCGAGACAGGCGCCUCGGGUAUGCUGCAGUGUUGUGUGUCAUGUCCAUCUGAAACGGUGUUUACAUAUUACAGAUGUAUCAGCACUGUAUACAUAGCAGAGAACCAAUGCCUGGCCUGUAAUUAGAUUGAUUGGAGAAUCUCUUCUGGAUUUUGAAGUCUUUUUCAGACUUUGGUUUGAAGUUGGAUUCUGUAGAUGGCCCUUUGUUAUUUGCCUACAUCUGGCUAAAAUAGUGUUACCUUUCUAGAGAACUCUGCUCCCUAAGGAAGCAAAUAAAAACAAUACUCAGUGAAGAAUCCUUUGAUGUAAUUAUGAAUAUUUCCUUUGUUAUGAUGGGUAAUUAUAGAAGAUCUUUGUUUAAACCAUAAUUCCCCCCUGUGUGAUCCUUUACCAUGCAGAGAAGUUACAAUUUAGUGCUGAUAAUUUAAAACUACUUUUUCAUGACAAAACAUCAUGAUGACCCAUGCAAAGAACUGGGAAUUUUCAAAGUAAGAGGCAGUUGGGGAUGGGAGGGAGAGGGACCCAAAUGUAUUCAGAAUUGCAGAAUAAAAAAAACAUGGCUUGGUGUGUCUGAAAUGGUUUCAUUUGAAAUAGUUGGAUGAAUGAGAGAUAACUUUUAGAGGGAUGUGAGCAGCCUGCACAUCUGUCUGGACAACCAGCAGCCUCCCUGGAUGCAGAACUUCCCUGUUUUGGUCCCUGGAGUUUCUUGGGAAGGUAUGAAGAGGAAGCAACUGGAAAUGGACACAUGCUUUCGAAUGCAUUUUGUGACCGAGACAAAGCAGUCAGUUCCUAGAGAUUCGAAUUUCUUAUGUCUCUUUCCUAGCUUUGAUUCCAUUACUGAACUCACACCACUUCUUUGUCUGCUCCUUCCUGAUGGUCCCAUGGGGGGACAGUUUUUUAGAAAAGCAAAAGUGAAGAGAGGCUCUAUUUGAUGCCCAGUAAUUUUGUUCUUCUUUGCUGGCCCUAGAGGUUACUCCAGAAAACGAAACAGCAGCUUUGCUCCUGCUUUCCUCCACAGUAUUUUUUAGAUCCAAGCCUGAUCUCUUGAUCAGCUUUCCUAUGGGAUGCUGCCAGUGGCUGUGGCUUCCCACCUGGACUGUGGCACUAUUCAGCUUAUACCAGUGCCUUCUCAGUAGCUCCUACACAGGUGGGCAGCCUUUUUGCUAAAAGAAAAGAAGGACUGGCAUGGAAGUCAGUUCCUGUUGGAGAAAAUGCCAAUUUUGCUUUCAGGAUGGUAAGCAACAGCUAGUCUUUUUGAGUAAUUGUCUGUUGAAGUUCUUGCCCUCGUUGGUUGUAGCCAGUUGUGGUUACAUCCAGCUCACCUGGGAUAUUAGCGAACUUGGACUUCAGCAAAUCAAAAUGAGUGUGCAAUAUUAUAUGAAUUUCAGCAGAAACUUAUUUUCUAGAAAAAUAGUGUCAUCUUUUGGUGUGCUGUCUUAUUUUGGUAUAUUCCCUUAAGAAAGAUAGAGUUCGAAAAAAGCAACAAACAAUAUGAAGCAUAUACUCUGUGGAAAAGAGCAGCAUCCUUGAUGUUUGUUUGGGACUUCAACAAAGUGAAUGUUUGUAACAAACAUCAAAUCAGACAGUUUAAUAAACCAUCAAGUGACAUAUUAAAUAUGAAAAAAAUUCAGUGUACCAGAAAUUGUAUUCAAAAUUAGGUUACUUUUCUCAAAGUCUCUGUAAUGGGAAUUAUUCCAAAUAAACUAAUGUGGAUAAUCUGA